GAGUCGUAACAAGGUUCCGUAGGUGAACUGCGGAAGGAUCAUUGUCGAAGCCCCUGGUAUGACUCGCGAACUUGUAAACUAAAAUGAAAGGGGGGAAGCCUUCUCCCCCCUUGCUGCGGGGCUGUACCCGUUGUCGGCUCGGCAUCUCCAUAUGCGGGAUGUCCGCCGUAUGACGGUUUCAUGCCCCGCUAAACAACCAAACCCGGGCGCAGGCUGCGCCAAGGAAAACGGAAGCAAUAGGCUUGCCCUCUCCCCACACGUUUGUUUCGGCAGCGGGGGGGAUGGUGAUGCCGUCAUCGGCAUAAAGAUGACUCUCGGCAACGGAUAUCUCGGCUCUCGCAUCGAUGAAGAACGUAGCGAAAUGCGAUACUUGGUGUGAAUUGCAGAAUCCCGUGAACCAUCGAGUCUUUGAACGCAAGUUGCGCCCGAGGCCACUAAGGUCGAGGGCACGUCUGUCUGGGCGUCGCACACAGCGUCACCUGCCAACGGUCCUCCUCGAGAGGCAGGUGGAUUAUGGCCUCCCGUGCCUCGGUGCAAGGCGCGGUUGGCCCAAAUGGGAAGCUGGGGCGAUGGAUGCCGUGGCAGUGGGUGGUUAGCGAGUCCUGAACGGCAAGCGGUUACGACGACUUGUCACGGUCCCGUUGCCAACCUUGCUUGGUUUGACCCUGACAUGCCGUGCACAGCGGC
rnacentral:rRNA from 1 species